UGUGUUUGAAAGUAUUAAAGGUCACUAAACGCACGUGUGGACAACCUCAUGUAAAAUGCAGACCAAUGAUUCGAAUACGUACACCUCCCUCGAUCAUCUCAUGUGCCUGUUAAAUCCUCCGCCGUGCCGGAGGAUGUCCUCGGUGGUGGAGGUUCUCAGAAAAUAAAUCAAACAUCAACGUUCAAACAAAAAUCAUGUCAUGGCCGCGAAUCCACAAACAAAAUUUCUUCAUUCCUCAAGAAUUGCUCGAAUCGAAGAAAGAGACGGAUGGACCCUAGCUCGAGGAAUCGUAAAUACAUCAUGGUAACCUUAGUUCGCAAAAAAAGGAAGAAGAUGACUGAAAGCUUACCGGAGUAACGCCGGUGUUAGGAAAUGGUAUAGGCUGGAAGGAUAUUGAUGAGCCCAUUCAGAUAUUCGUUUGGUUGCAUCUCAGUGUUUACUGUUGCAAUGUGGGAAAGUUCUCAGCACCAAAUCCGAAGAUGGACUGCCUCUGAACUGAACUCAGGGGGAGAAUCAAAUUAGAGAAACUUCACUCUUAAGCAUCUCUCUCAAAGUUGGUUGUCAUCAUCAAAAAGGGGGAGAUUGUAGAAACAUGCUUCAAUCCAUAGAAUUUUGAUGAAGACAACAUGUAUCAAUGCAAAAAGAUAAGAGCUUCAAUAGAAUUUAAAGCAUCAAGUUAAUCAAGCCACAUAUGCAUAGCAACAUUUGGUUCAAGCUUCAUUAUCAAGCCAACACUUUUGCAAAUUUGUUGAAUCACUUCUAAGGUAUAUCUAAUUCACUCUUAAAUUAGUAUACAAGUGUUCAACAAUCAUGUUUUGCAUUUCCAUAUUUAACCUAACCAUUUUUUAACAUGUUGAAAUGAAAAACACAUUUUACUUAAAAUAUUUUUCUGUGUUUCAACAGUGUUAACCGGUUAACCAUAUGGGUUAACCGGUUAACGGCCCUAUAUUUGAAAUUCUGAAGUUAACGUUAGAUGCGUUAACCGGUUAACCCAUUUGGUUAACCGGUUAACACUGUUCGUUUCAGCAUUUCUUGGCCUCUUUUCAUGAAAAAUGUUUUCAAAUACUUAUACCUUUUCACUACUUUUUAUGAAGAAAAUUAUAUCUCUUUGAAAAGGUGUUUUGAUCAAUAUAAAUUCUGGUUUUUUUUAAAUGAAAAAAUACCUCCAAGAACUUUCAUAAAGACUCAAGAUAAUCACUCGUUCAUAUUUGUCAAUUUCUCAUAAAAGUGUUCCUAACCAAUUUUUGAGAAGAAACUUUUUAACAUUCUUGUUUCAUCUCCUUCCAUUUCUUGUUGAACACUUAUAUAUUAUCCUUUUAGUGAAUUAUUUAUCCAAGGAGAAGAUCAAUCAAGAGAAGACUGAUAGUACUACACUUUAUUCAAAUCAUCAAAGAAGAUUUAUUUUUGUUUGACUUGUGAUCCAGGAUUGUUGGACACAAGGGUUGGUGUUGCAAGAGGAUUGUUCUUGCACACUUGAUUGUUGUAUAGUUGUUAGAACGUAGGCUUCACCGGUUUAUGGUGUGAUAGGUUGUACAAUCUAAAACUAUAAUAAAAUCUCUUACGAGGUGUAAGGGGACUGGAUGUACCCUCGGUUUGUGAAGGGAACCAGGAUAAUUCUUGGUGUCGUUUUAUUUUCCGCUUUAUUGCUUUCAUAACCUAGACACUUAGAUGACAUAAAUUCAUCCACCGAUAAAAUAACCGAAAUUUUUUAAAAAGCCUAAUUCACCCCCCUCUUAGGCUAAUCAUGAAACUAUAGAGUAUGUUGAUAAGGCAUCUCAAUCUUCACAAAGGAAAUCUCAACCAUCACAGACUUUGAAGAAGUUAAAAUUAUCAAAGAAGCAACCACAAUCAAAGAAACAUUUCACUCUUCAAUUUCCUAAUCAUAUUAGGUCAUACAUUGAAGAUGUAGUUAAUGUUGUAUUAGAUGGUAAUUGUGGAUUUAGAGUCAUUGCAUCAUUAUGGUGAUGAUGGUUGGUCAGUGGUUCGCCGAGACUCGUGGUUGGAAAUAAUAGACAAGGAUAGGUCAACUUUGUGUGACAAGUUAUUUUGUAAUCGGUUAUCAGAAGUGAGAGAGUCUUUGAUGAUAGAAUCCUUUGGUUCACAACCACUAGAAAAAUGGUUGACUCUACCAGAUAUGGGUUACUUGAUAGUGAAUCGUUAUAAUGUUGUACUUGUCUGUUUAGGCAAUCUGUGCAUGACUUUCUUUUCUAUGACAAGUUCACAUUCACCAAAUGUCUUCAUUUAUUUCAUUGGUUUUGUUAACCAAAAUCAUUGGAUUCAGGUUAACAUGAAAGAGGGGUUUCCGUUGCCACCGGUCACAUUAGAUUGGAAGAAGUUUCGUUGUCAAGCAACAACGUCUUGAAUGUUAGGAUUUGCAGGACGUUUACAACAUUGGCAAUUACUUACGCCUAUAUUAGCAUGAAUAUGUAAUCAAAACAUGAAUAUGUAAUCAAAACAUGAAUAUUAUAUUAUGUCUAUUUUAUUA